rnacentral:lncRNA from 1 species
CCGGGUACUACAACUCUCUCUCCCUUAAAGGAAAUUUAGUCCCUCAAAUUUUUCUCCCUCUCAUUCAAUCAAACAGUUAGGGAUACUGGGCUCUGAAGUCUGAUUCUAGCUCCUAUGUGGCCUCUCUGUGUGUGUGAUUCUGCCAUAGGACCUUAACGAAGGAAAUUUUUUGGUUGCGAAGUACUUUGCUCUUUCGGUCCACAAUACCCACC